rnacentral:rRNA from 1 species
GCUAUUGGAGUUCGAUUAAGCCAUGCGAGUCGAGAGUCUUAGGGACUCGGCGUACCGCUCAGUAACACGUGGGUAACCUGCCCUAUGCUGGGGAAUAACCUCGGGAAACUGAGAAUAAUGCCCCAUAGUCCACAAUGCCUAGAACGGUUUGUGGAUCAAAGCUCCGGCGGCAUAGGAUGGGCCUGCGGCGUAUCAGGUUGUAGGGGGUGUAACGUACCCUCUAGCCAUCAACGCGUACGGGUGUUGGGAGACAUAGCCCGGAGAUGGAUUCUGAGACACGAAUCCAGACCCUACGGGGUGCAGCAGGCGCGAAAACUUGGCAAUGCGAGAAAUCGUGACCAGGGAACUCCAAGUGGCUGGGGUAAGACCCAGUCUUUUCUUGACUCUUCAAAGGUCUUGGAAUAAGGGGUGGGUAAGGACGGUGCCAGCCGCCGCGGUAAUACCGGCGCCUCAAGUGGUAGUCGAUUUUAUUGGGCCUAAAACGUCCGUAGCCUGUUUGGUACAUUCGUGGGUAAAUCAACCAGCUCAACUGGUUGAAUUCUGCGAGCACGGCCAGACUUGGGACCGGGAGAGGUGUGGGGUACGCUCAGGGUAGGGGUAAAAUCCUGUCAUCCUGAGCGGACCACCUGUUGCGAAGGCGCCACACUAGAACGGAUCCGACGGUCAGGGACGAAGCCUAGGGGCACGAACCGGAUUAGAUACCCGGGUAGUCCUAGGUGUAAACGCUGUGGACUUGGUGUUGGGGACUCUCCGAGAUUCCUCAGUGCCGAAGCGAAGGUGAUAAGUCCACUGCCUGGGGAGUACGGCCGCAAGGCUGAAACUUAAAGGAAUUGGCGGGGGAGCACCGC